CCUACGGGAGGCUGCAGUGAGGAAUAUUGGUCAAUGGGCGCGAGCCUGAACCAGCCAAGUAGCGUGAAGGAUGACUGCCCUACGGGUUGUAAACUUCUUUUAUAAAGGAAUAAAGUGAGGCACGUGUGCCUUUUUGUAUGUACUUUAUGAAUAAGGAUCGGCUAACUCCGUGCCAGCAGCCGCGGUAAUACGGAGGAUCCGAGCGUUAUCCGGAUUUAUUGGGUUUAAAGGGAGCGUAGAUGGGUUGUUAAGUCAGUUGUGAAAGUUUGCGGCUCAACCGUAAAAUUGCAAUUGAUACUGGCAGGCUAGAGUACAGUUGAGGUAGGCGGAAUGCGUGGUGUAGCGGUGAAAUGCUUAGAUAUCACGAAGAACUCCGAUUGCGAAGGCAGCUUACUAAGCUGCCACUGACAUUGAGGCUCGAAAGUGUGGGUAUCAAACAGGAUUAGAUACCCGAGUAGUC
rnacentral:rRNA from 1 species